AGCAUGCGAGUGAUUUUCUUCAUUUGGGUAACAAACAUGUUGCUCCUUUCUCUGCUGCAAGCUCCUUUCCCUGAUCUAGGUUUCAAAUUCAAAUUUCAAAUCCCCCUCAAAAUGUCUUUUGUGGCAUCUCUAUUUGCACACACAAUCUCUCUCCCUCUUCUACCUUCAUUCAAUACAUGCCAAUCUCUCUGCGUCCAUUUCUCUGCUUCAUCUCCCAGAAUCUAGAUAACAAUUUUUUUCUCUCUUUGUUUUCACUUUGGUACAGAUUAACUUCCAUUAUUAAUGAUUAGUUAAUGUGUUAUUUUCCUCACAGAUUCACACUUCCAUCGCAAUUUUCAGUUUUUAUUGUUUGUUCAGGUUCACAAUUAGAGUUUGAUUGGGCCAAAAGAUUUGUAGACUAUUUGGCUACUUUGGUCCUCUAAAUGCAGUUUUCGUGCCUCAUGAUGAUUAUAUUAGAGUGAGUCACUUCAUUUCAGGCCAUGUUAUUCAGUCUCAUGGAACUAAACUCUUAGAUGCAGCAUGCAGCCGCCUCAGUUGUAGAAAAUUUGGGACUGUAUUAUAUUUCAAGAAUCGAUAUACAUUUUGUUUGCAAGCUAAAUUCACCUGAAACUUCUGUUUUAAAGGCUUUGGAUUGCGCAAUCUUGAUAAAUUUGUUUUUUACUUGCAGGCUUUACCCGGUCUGCAGUUGACUUCACUUAACAGAGUUAUUGUCCAGAGCAUGAAUGGGAAGAAAAGACAUGAAAUGAGUCCUUGAUUAUCGUAUUUUAUAGUUGCCUUCUUUAUAUUACUAGAUGUUGCUUUGGACCUAUGGUUUUAGACAGGAAAGUUAACAUAUAUUGAUUCAUUUUCUUUUGCAUCUAGAAAUUUAUUGCCCUAAAAUAUUCCAUAUAAAAACAUUUCAUGUGUGCAUGUAGAAGCUCCUUUUGCUGUUGUAAGUACAGUUGCAGAGAGUGUGAGAGCUCAUGCCAUUGUUGAUGUUGCUGCUGGUCAGCAAAAUGACAUACCUAUGAUUCCUAUAAGAUGCUCAGAAAAUAUGAAGUUCUUCUAUUUUGUUUACAAAUUGAGACAAGAAAGUGCAGAUAGUAUAUGGCUCACUACCUUUUGAUCUUGAGGCUGGUCAUAAGAUACUACCAAAUAUAAUUCCCUGGAAUUUUCUCUCAGAGUUAUCCACACUAAUCGAGAAGGAGGUUGCCAAGUCAAUGACCAUAAUAGAAAACAACUCAAACUGGGAAGGGUUAGCUAAUGAAGAGCUUUGCAUAGAAACUGAUUAUUUAGCUAUUCUUGACAGCACUUCUGUUGUAUGGCUACUUUGUUAUCAAUUUAGUUAUGUAAACAUCUUGGUUGCUAAUCUGUUGAGGUGUACAAUUUUAUUUUUUCAAUUUUUAGUGCAACUUAUACAGUGGAAUUGUUGACUGGAAAAGAUUAUGUAAGUAUAUUUUAAGGUUGUUUUAAGUCUUUUACUAAAAGUGAAGUGAAGAAAUUUCAAGUUAUCCCAAUCUAUGGAAAC